CCAGACCGUUUUGGUGUAUGCUAUGAAACAACUACCUAUUCGGUUUCCGAUUGGAGUUAUCUACUUACUCCAUCAGCUGACGCCAAUGACGUAUAAUGGUGCUGGUGAGAGGCACUCUACAGCAGUGGACUUGACCAACCUGUGGUUGUACUGGACAUCGCUCAGGCCUCUAUGCGUACAAGCUGCUGAUGCGAGCCUUUGGAACGUCUACAUUUUAGAAAGUCUAAUAAAUCUAUUUAAUAUACAU